GGUACAGUAACAGUAUGUGUUAGGUAUAUAGCGAGUGUUCUGAGUGGUACAGUAACAGUAUGUGUUAGGUAUAUAGCGAGUGUUCUGAGUGGUACAGUAACAGUAUGUGUUAGGUAUAUAGCGAGUGUUCUGAGUGGUACAGUAACAGUAUGUGUUAGGUAUAUAGCGAGUGUUCUGAGUGGUACAGUAACAGUAUGUGUUAGGUAUAUAGCGAGUGUUCUGAGUGGUACAGUAGCAGUAUGUGUUAGGUAUAUAGAGAGUGUUCUGAGUGAGGGUUACAGUAACAGUAUGUGUUAGGUAUAUAGAGAGUGUUCUGAGUGAGGGGUACAGUAACAGUAUGUGUUAGGUAUAUAGCGAGUGUUCUGAGUGAGGGUUACAGUAACAGUAUGUGUUAGGUAUAUAGAG